UUCACCAUUUUUUGUCCAUACUUGCGCCAUCUAUAGCCAUCACUUGAGAUUCCUACAUCACAAGCAGCAUGCACCACAAGUUUGGGUUUCUUUCCAGGUCUAGAAACAGAUUCAGAACCUGUGUCACUUUUCUUCAACCUGGAAACCAUAGGUGAGUUUAUGUGAUCAAUGAUAAUAUUUGGGUUUCUUUCCAGGUCUAGGAACAGAUUCGGAACUUGCGUCACUUUUCUUCAACCUGGAAACCAUAGGUGAGUGUAGCAAUCAAUACUAUGGUUUUGAACAUCUGUAAGAUGAAAGCUGGAUCAAUG
rnacentral:lncRNA from 1 species